CAAGGGCUUGGGAAGCUUGACAAAAGAGGGGAUCUUUCAAUUGGGUCAUUAAGGGUGACUAGGAGUUGCCAAUGGAUGGUAGAGAAAGGACUUUCAGAAAAAGCAGAAAAAGAUGGAUGAAAUGAUAAAUGAAUUUGACAUGGAAGAUUGGGAAGGGAGGAAGUUGACAAUCUGUACUCCUGAAAAUAGGCAUAUUCUGUUCUAGUAAAGUAGAAGGUGUGGUUAUCAGCUGGGAGAAUUAGGGUCGGCAGUGGAUGAACUGCAUCUGAAAUUGGUCCAACCUGGCUGCACAAGGAACUCUUUGGUCAACACAAUUCUUAAAAUUAGAGGGUAUGAGAUGAGAAAGAGAACCAUCUGGGCAUAGAGAAUUGGCACCAAGCAAGAGCAAGGAACCAGACAUCAGUUACGGAAAAUGUAUCCCCACAUCACAUCAUGGGAGCCUAGCUCACAGACACUGCCAAUGGAAAUUGCAGAAAUAGAUCAACUGCAAAAGGUUACAUAGGGGACCCGCAUGCUACAUUAACUCUCUGUGAAUAAAUUACAUGUAAAAUUUGA